UACGGGAGUGGCAAGCGUUAUCCGGAAUUAUUGGGCGUAAAGCGUCCGCAGGCGGCCUUGAAAGUCUGUCGUUAAAGCGUGGAGCUUAACUCCAUUUCGGCGGUGGAAACUACAAGGCUUGAGUGUGGUAGGGGCAGAGGGAAUUCCCGGUGUAGCGGUGAAAUGCGUAGAUAUCGGGAAGAACACCAGUGGCGAAGGCGCUCUGCUGGGCCAUAACUGACGCUCAUGGACGAAAGCUAGGGGAGCGAAAGGG
rnacentral:rRNA from 2 species